rnacentral:rRNA from 1 species
GACGAACGCUGGCGGCGCGCCUAACACAUGCAAGUCGAACGGUGAAGAGGAGCUUGCUCCUCGGAACAGUGGCGGACGGGUGAGUAACACGUGAGCAACCUGGCUCUAAGAGGGGGACAACAGUUGGAAACGACUGCUAAUACCGCAUGACGUAUCGGGAUGGCAUCUUCCUGAUACCAAAGAUUUUAUCGCUUAGAGAUGGGCUCGCGUCUGAUUAGAUAGUUGGCGGGGUAACGGCCCACCAAGUCGACGAUCAGUAGCCGGACUGAGAGGUUGAACGGCCACAUUGGGACUGAGACACGGCCCAGACUCCUACGGGAGGCAGCAGUGGGGAUAUUGGACAAUGGGGGCAACCCUGAUCCAGCGACGCCGCGUGAGGGAAGAAGGUUUUCGGAUUGUAAACCUCUGUCGACGGAGAAAAAAAUGAUGGUAUCCGUUUAGAAAGCCACGGCUAACUACGUG